GGUGACGCUCUUGGGACGGCAGCCCAAGCCAUCGUCUUCCCCAACAUCACGAGGACUCCUCCUCCCAAACCCAAACCCAGGGUUUCAGGAACUGCGGACCACCCAAAAGGCCUGCGGAAAACGCCCCCAAACGCGACCCCGUGGCACCCUCACUUGUCAGCGUAUCUCAGGACGUACUUGCCGCGGGAGGGACGAAGAGAGAGAGAAUGGGGGAUAGAACUUCGGGCAGAUCCCGGGCGCGUGGACACUGGGAAGACUUACUCUUGAGGACUCAGAGCAACUUGGUUCCCAGCUCUAACGCAAGUGCUGGUGGUUCCCUCGUCACAGCCUGCCUAUAGGAACUGACCAUAGAACAUUAUGAUCCCGAAUGCCUGGGGGAAGAGAAAAAUGUGCUUCAGCUCUAAAAGAUUCAAGUUCAGUGAGUCCUCCUCACUCCUCACCUCAGUCCUUCCUGCUGGGAUCCCCUCUUUCUGGCGGAACACCAUGUUAUCUCAAAUGAUUAUGGAUUCUUUAGAAAUGGAAAAAUAUCUUUUAUUCUUACUGUUUGUCCUGUGAGAGCAGCCCUGAUGACUUUUAACUCAAGAAUGCCAGGAGUUUCUACCACUACUUUUGUUUCAUCUCUUGAUGGCAUGGAUGGUUUGCCAAUAAAACGUGCACAGGUG